AGUGAACGCUGGCGGUAGGCCUAACACAUGCAAGUCGAACGGCAGCACAGUAAGAGCUUGCUCUUACGGGUGGCGAGUGGCGGACGGGUGAGGAAUACAUCGGAAUCUACUUUUUCGUGGGGGAUAACGUAGGGAAACUUACGCUAAUACCGCAUACGACCUACGGGUGAAAGCAGGGGAUCUUCGGACCUUGCGCGAUUGAAUGAGCCGAUGUCGGAUUAGCUAGUUGGCGGGGUAAAGGCCCACCAAGGCGACGAUCCGUAGCUGGUCUGAGAGGAUGAUCAGCCACACUGGAACUGAGACACGGUCCAGACUCCUACGGGAGGCAGCAGUGGGGAAUAUUGGACAAUGGGCGCAAGCCUGAUCCAGCCAUACCGCGUGUGUGAAGAAGGCCUUCGGGUUGUAAAGCACUUUUGUUGGGAAAGAAAAGCAGCAGGUUAAUACCCCGCUGUUCUGACGGUACCAAAAGAAUAAGCACCGGCUAACUUCGUG
rnacentral:rRNA from 1 species